UACCAAUCAUUCUUUUGAAUACCUUAUAUUCACGAGACAAUCACAAUAAACUCUCUAUGACAUAUUCUUCACUCAGGAGAAACUUCCAACUUAGGAAAAUUUGUCAUACAAAAACUAUACACAUUCCAGACUUUGUAUAUACCUUAGUGCAUUUCCCAUGGUAGCUUGUCAUUCACCGAAGUAUCAAACAAAUGGACAUUUAAAAUCUAGUCGCAUAAGCAGCAUUUGAAUAAGGCUUGAACAAUUCCAACAUUCUAAACUUUUAUUCCUGGAAUAAAUAAGGAUUGUACUAUUUGUCCAUCAACUAAAGAACCAUUUAUCCAUUGGAUGCAAAUAAUUGGAACACCUCAAAUCUAACGAGAGUUCCAUAGAAGAAUAUUCUAUAGAAGAUAUGCUUCUCCACAUGAGUUCCUUUGUCUAUUGUUCUUUUUUUAAAGGAAGACACGAGUUCCUUUAUCUUGAUCUCUCAAAAGAUCAAGUUAUAAGUAGACAUGAUUAUAAUAAAAUUAAUAAUUAAUUAUUAAUAUUGACUAUUUUAAAAAAAAGUUAAUCAGU
rnacentral:lncRNA from 1 species